rnacentral:rRNA from 1 species
AGCGAACGCUGGCGGCAGGCCUAACACAUGCAAGUCGAACGAACCUUUCGGGGUUAGUGGCGGACGGGUGAGUAACACGUGGGAACGUGCCUUUAGGUUCGGAAUAACUCAGGGAAACUUGUGCUAAUACCGAAUGUGCCCUUCGGGGGAAAGAUUUAUCGCCUUUAGAGCGGCCCGCGUCUGAUUAGCUAGUUGGUUGAGGUAAUGGCUCACCAAGGCGACGAUCAGUAGCUGGUCUGAGAGGAUAAUCAGCCACAUUGGGACUGAGACACGGCCCAAACUCCUACGGGAGGCAGCAGUGGGGAAUCUUGCGCAAUGGGCGAAAGCCUGACGCAGCCAGGCCGGGUGAAUGAUGAAGGUCUUAGGAUUGUAAAAUUCUUUCACCGGGGACGAUAAUGACGGUACCCGGAGAAGAAGCCCCGGCUAACUUCGUG